GUGAUGAGUAAAUAAAGUUGGGAUUCUACCAAGAACAGAACCCCAAAGCUCUUCCCUAAACCCAGGAUCAGUGGCCUCUUCCGACCCAAGCUCCACCCCCGGCGACGGCGAUGCCAAGGACAACUCCGUAGCCAAGAGCCCAAGACUGCCGGGCUUGUGGUCUUCUCGGGCAUCGCCAUUAGUAUUCUCAAAGCCGCGCCUUAAACCCUUUUAACAAGAGCACAACCACUCAAGAAACUCUUCACCCACUCUGACUGUGAGUCAACUCAGCUCCCAUCAGAGCCUCAGCAAUCCAUUGUUGUCAAGGCACCACCGCAGCCUACUGAACCUAAAAUCAUUACCAGCAAUGCCAGCAUGGACCAAAGUGUGCCAGACACACCGGAACCGCUGCACAGAACAAUAGAUACUGAGAAAGGAGAUACUCUUUGGGGGCUCUCUAGAAGAUAUGGGGUACACGUUUUCUGCUCUUUAAUUAAUUUUUGAUACAUGAAUGUUUUAUGUGAACAUUUUUCUUUGAGAAGUUUGCAAGUAAAAGUACUUCUUGUAGUGUUUAUCGGUGAUGACUGAGAAUUGAGGGGUAACUGGGUAAGGAUCCUGCUUAGUCAUGUUUGCUAACCUCAGAUUGUUUGAAGUAUAUUGUAUAGAUGUUGGAAACACCAUUAGGUUGUUUGAUAAAUAAUCACAUACACUGCUAGUUCUCCAGAGACUUCAUGGCUGCAUUUUGGUAAAGUUCAUGCAAUUUUAUUCUUCAAUAUUGUGGGAUUUCAUGAAGAGUAUUAAGGAAAACUAAGAAAUGGCACAAUGAGUGAAAAAAAUGCAAAUAUAAUUCAUUCAACAACGAUGAUGCAGCUGACUGGAUUAAGAAAGUUGAAUUUUCUCUUGGUUGCUAGAACAAUAUGGUGCUUAACUUUGCAGGAGUGCAGCCACAUAUGUGAAAUAUUAAAGGUUGAGACCAUCUAGAUCUGUUUUGCCAUUUGCAAGACUUAGUUCAGUUGAAACAACAAUGAUACAGGAAACUUACUUUAGUGCAAAAAACAAUGAUAUGGUUUAUUGUAUUUGUUAAUGUAACUGAAGGUGAGAUCCAUGUUUGGUGGAACUCUGAAGAACUAACAGAAGUAAUCAUGUUUGCAUGCCCAAGUAUAUUUCUUUCCUUGAUUUUACUGAAGUGUUGCAACCAGUACGAAGUAAUACCAUUUUCCUAUUUUUAUUUGGCUGUUGCGAAUUUUAUUUUAUGGAUACAGUUGCAUCUUUGCUUUCAGUUGAUAUAUUUGUUCCAUGAUAUAUCUAUGUAUCAAUUGACGAAAUCAAAGAGGCUAAUGGUAUUAAAGGGGACACCAUCUCCGCUGGCAAGAAGCUCGUCAUUCCAUGAAAACUUAUUCUCUGUGUCUCGGGUUAGUAUAGAGUGAAAGAAAAACUGGUUUUGAAGAAUUCUCAGGAGGAAUGUAUGAGUUUCCAGGCUCUGGAUUCACCCUCUUAAGACUGGAAAGCAAAGUGAGUGUAACAUGUAGUCUUGUACUCUUGUAGCUUUGAAAUUUCAAUGGAGAAAUCUUUUUCA